GCUACACCGCGCCUUGCCUCACCAGUUCCUGGCCUGCCAACGCCCCCGCUCUUCACCUUCUCUUCUCCAGAGUUCAGCCUUUAUUCCACCUACACACUUGUCCAUUCACGACAACCCCUCCCCCUCAAACCCGACCUUUGUGCACACGGGAGCAUUCCGAUCGUACUACUAACGCUUCGACGUCCUUCUUGUGUUCAUUUUACCAACAAUUUCCCUCGCCUCCAUUCGCUUUUCGGUUUCGACUUCGCUUUUUUCCUUUUUCUUGUCGUUUCUUUACCGUCAUUCUCGUAUCAGCUCGCAAGCAUGUCCUCGCAGCAGCACCUUGUCUCUGAAUUCACGGCCGGCUCCGGCUCGUGGUUGCCGCAGGCGCAGGGCUUCGACACCCUGCAGGUGCACGCCGGCGUCCGCCCCGACCCGGUCACGGGUGCCAUCCUCACCCCGAUCUACCAGUCCACCACGUUCGUGCAGGAGUCGAUCGACAGCUACCAGGCGAAGGGCUACUCCUACACUCGCUCUGCCAACCCUACGGUGGCUGUGCUGGAGCAGAAGCUGUGCGCCUUGGAGAACGGCAACUACUGCACGGUGUACAACACCGGCAUGGCUGCGACCACCACGGCUAUCUCGUCGUUCAUGAACGCCGGAGACCACGCGAUCUUGACGAACUGCUGCUACGGUGGCACUAACCGCGCCUGCCGUGUGUUCUUCAGCCGCCUCGGGAUGGAGUUUACUUUCGUUGACAUGCGCGAUCCCCAGAACGUCAUCGAUUCCAUCAAACCCAACACAAAGUUGGUGAUCAGCGAGACGCCCGCCAACCCCACGUUGAUACUUAUCGACGUUGCUGCGGUGUCGAAGAUAUGCAAAGAAAGGGGUAUUGUGCACAUGUGCGACAACACCUUCGCCACAGCCUACAUCAUGCGCCCGCUCGACCACGGCGCUGAUGUCACCCUGAUCAGCACAACCAAGUACGUGGACGGCCACGACAUGACCGUGGGCGGCGCCCUCGUCACAAACAGCAAGGAGCUGGACGCUAAGGUGCGCCUGACCCAGAACAUCCUUGGCAACGUCAUGAGCCCUCAGGUGGCUUUCCUGCAGCUGCAGACGGUGAAGACAAUGUCGCUGCGCGUGACGAAGCAGAGCCACAACGCACAGAAAGUUGCUGAGUUCCUGGAGAAGCAUCCCGCUGUGGACCGUGUCGUGUACCCGGGUCUUGCUUCCCACCCGCAGAAGGAGCUGGCCGACCGGCAGCACCGCAACAACCUGCACGGCGGCAUGCUCUGGUUUGAGGUCAAGGGCGGGACUGCCGCUGGUCGGCGCCUGAUGGACACCGUGCCGCGCCCAUGGUCCCUCUGCGAGAAUCUCGGUGCCUCGGAGAGCAUCAUCACCUGCCCGUCUGUCAUGACCCACGCGAACAUGACGAGCGAGGACCGCAUGAAGGUGGGCAUCACGGACGGAUUCGUGCGUGUGAGCUGCGGUAUCGAGGACGUCGAUGACCUCAUCGCCGCUCUCAAGAUCGCCAUGGAUGCCCUCGUCUAGUAAGUCACUCCGACUCUCUAGACACCUUCCCCAUCGCACGCAUACACACGCUGAACGAAAAAAAAAGGAGGAAAAGUCGCGUCAACGCAAGGCUGUGCAUAUGCAGCAGCCGGGCACGCUUGCCCUGGACUACAGGAAGCAUAUUCAUACCAUACGACACCAUCUUCGGCAUGUGUGGAGAGAACACGGCUCGCGGAAAAGGACCAGUGGAAGUGGUAGCGAUGACAACAGCAAAAAACAGAGAAAAAAUGCCACACGCACAUGCACACAAAAAAAAGCAGUGAUAUGCGUGUGCGGGGGAGUGGUGGGCGCCAACGGUCUGCGUCAUGUGCAGUUAGGGCAGAGAAAAAAAUGAAUUGCAAACAGCAGUAACAAAAAAGGAGAAACGCGUGCCGUGGGAUGCGUGCCUUAGCAGCGGGGUAGAAGGCGGGACCCGAUGUUCACCGGGAAGCGAAAAGUACUGCACCAGAGCGUCGCAGAAGAAACAAACUGCUUCGUUUAUGGAAAUCUUCCAUGAAAAUGGUGGUGCCGGGUGUGUUGAGAACGGGCGUCUAUCGGACGCUCCGCUAUGUGGUUCCGCCCUCUGUGUACCCCCUCUUUUUGCCUUUCGUAUGUCUGUCUGUGUAGCUUCUGCUAAUGCCCACCUUUUCCUCAAAGUGAUGCUUUUUCGGGUGAGGUAUGCGUUUAGCCGAGCGUGAGAAGCCCGUGUGUGUGUGUAAGGGGGUGGUUGCUGGUAGAUGCGGUCGCUGCUCUUGCUGGUGAUUAGUACUUCUGCGGCGCAAAGAGGAUCGAGAGGGAGACACAAAUAUCGUUCGACACUAUGCUUGCUCUGUGUGGAGCAGCAGCAGCAGUAGCAGUAGUUCUUUUUACUGUUUGGUGGUCACAGGCUUCUGUGACCAGCUCUUCAAUAUUCCUCGGAUACACACACACACACACACGCACAAGCAUGCAUGGAUGUGCAUCCUCGCAUCUCUCUCCUUCUCUGGUCUUUUUUCUCCUCCUGUUUUUUUUUGGUUUCGCGCCUUACGGAGGACGGAGGUUACUAUUAUUAUUCUUCAUCGGCAAUUUUUUAUCUGUUCUUGACCUUCACCGUCCCCUCUGCGUUCCUGACAAG
rnacentral:misc_RNA from 1 species